GAGUUUGAUCCUGGCUCAGGACGAACGCUGGCGGCGUGCCUAAUACAUGCAAGUAGAACGCUGACUACUUUAGCUUGCUAGAGUAGAAGGAGUUGCGAACGGGUGAGUAACGCGUAGGUAACCUGCCUACUAGCGGGGGAUAACUAUUGGAAACGAUAGCUAAUACCGCAUAACAGUGUUUAACACAUGUUAGAUGCUUGAAAGAUGCAAUUGCAUCACUAGUAGAUGGACCUGCGUUGUAUUAGCUAGUUGGUGGGGUAACGGCCCACCAAGGCGACGAUACAUAGCCGACCUGAGAGGGUGAUCGGCCACACUGGGACUGAGACACGGCCCAGACU
rnacentral:rRNA from 1 species